GGUAUGGUGGUGCAGUUGGUAGCACUAUUACCUUGCAACAAAAAGGUGUUGGGUUCAAAUCCCAGCUUGGGGUCU